CGGCUAUCACUUUUGGAUGGUCCCGCGGCGUAUUAGCUAGAUGGUGAGGUAACGGCUCACCAUGGCAAUGAUACGUACCCGACCUGAGAGGGUAAUCGGCCACAUUGGGACUGAGACACGGCCCAAACUCCUACGGGAGGCAGCAGUAGGGAAUCUUCCACAAUGGACGAAAGUCUGAUGGAGCAACGCCGCGUGAGUGAAGAAGGGUUUCGGCUCGUAAAACUCUGUUGUUAAAGAAGAACAUAUCUGAGAGUAACUGUUCAGGUAUAGACGGUAUUUAACCAGAAAGCCACGGCUAACUACGUGCCAGCAGCCGCGGUAAUACGUAGGUGGCAAGCGUUGUCCGGAUUUAUUGGGCGUAAAGCGAGCGCAGGCGGUUUUUUAAGUCUGAUGUGAAAGCCUUCGACUCAACCGAAGAAGUGCAUCGGAAACUGGGAAACUUGAGUGCAGAAGAGGACAGUGGAACUCCAUGUGUAGCGGUGAAAUGCGUAAAUAUAUGGAAGAACACCAGUGGCGAAGGCGGCUGUCUGGUCUGUAACUGACGCUGAGGCUCGAAAGUAUGGGUAGCAAACAGGAUUAGAUACCCUGGUAGUCCAUACCGUAAACGAUGAAUGCUAAGUGUUGGAGGGUUUCCGCCCUUCAGUGCUGCAGCUAACGCAUUAAGCAUUCCGCCUGGAGAGUACGGCCGCAAGGCUGAAACUCAAAGGAAUUGACGGGGGCCCGCACAAGCGGUGGAGCAUGUGGUUUAAUUCGAAGCUACGCGAAGAACCUUACCAGGUCUUGACAUACUAUGCAAAUCUAAGAGAUUAGACGUUCCCUUCGGGGACAUGGAUACAGGUGGUGCAUGGUUGUCCUCAGCUCGUGUCGUGAGAUGUUGGGUUAAGUCCCGCAACGAGCGCCACCCUUAUUAUCAGUUGCCAGCAUUAAGUUGGGCACUCUGGGUAAAAC
rnacentral:rRNA from 1 species